CCGGCCCUGGCAGUGCAUACACUGUUCAUCAUCACAACUCUAACCCUAUAACAAUAAAAAACUUGAAAAAUAAUGAUCAAUCCAAAACGUAAAAUUCACAGCUACAAUAACCUUAACAAAUAUUAAGAUAAAACAAGAAUUAUGUCUACAAUUUCGCGCUUACGCGGGGGCAAUACCCUUAGUCAAUAAAACGAUAUAGUGGUUCAAUCGUUUAUAUUGAAAGAAUCGCAUCAAUGUAUAUGAAGAGUUGUACGUACAGUGGACAUUAUAUGUGCUGUACAAUUUUUUUUUACCAACAAGAACUUUGAUUAUAACUAAAUAUUUAUUAAUGUGCAAGAAAAGUAUAGUCAAUGCCCCCAGAACACUUCCCAUCUCGUCGCCUUUAAAAAGAAAAACUCCCAUCUCGUCUUACACUGCAUUUUGUCUUCUGGAUUUGUUUUACUAAUAAAGAUAAAAACAUGUUCUUCAGCUUUGUGGCUUCAAUUUUUUAUUCCUUAUGUUCCUUUUUAUACAUUUUUCCACUGC
rnacentral:lncRNA from 1 species